rnacentral:rRNA from 1 species
AUGAAGAAAAAAGAUAGUGAGGAAAAGAAAAGGAAGGCCCUAGAGGAAAAACUAGCCAUGGCAGACAAAAGAAGAGAAGCUAUGGAGGAAAAGAAAAGAAUAGCAGAAGAGGCAAAAAGAAAAAGAGCAGAAGAGAAGAGGAGGAUAGCUAAGGAGAAGAAGAGACUUUGUAGGACUGCAUAUGAUGCAAAGGAGGCAAUGUUCCUUAUAAAUCAAGAUGAAGAGUUGGAAAGAAGGCAAUUAUUUCUCCAAACACAGGAGGCAUCAAGACAGGAAGCUUGGAAGCACAACAGAAAUCAAGAGGAAGAAACAAGAGUUGAGGCAUGUUUGCAUGAGAGAAACAAGAAGGAAACCCAACAAACAAGAGAAGCAAUGGCAGAGGAACAUAUGAUGACUGCAUGUUAG